GGGAUCAUAGUCUAGCUUGGUAUGAUGCCAGCCUCGGGCGCUGGAGGUCGCCGGUUCGAAUCCGGCUGAUCCCA
rnacentral:tRNA from 3 species